UACAGAGGGUGCGAGCGUUGUUCGGAAUUAUUGGGCGUAAAGGGCGCGUAGGCGGUGCGGUAAGUCACCUGUGAAAUCUCCUGGCUCAACUGGGAGCUUGCAGGCGAAACUGCCGUGCUGGAGUGUGGGAGAGGUGAGUGGAAUUCCCGGUGUAGCGGUGAAAUGCGUUGAUAUCGGAAGGAAUGCCGGUGGCGAAAGCGAGCUGCUGGCCCUCUUCUGACGCUGAGGCGCGAAAGCCAGGGGAGCGAACGGG
rnacentral:rRNA from 1 species